rnacentral:antisense_RNA from 1 species
CUUCACCGAACCCAGCCACAGGGGAUUGUCGUCCUGGUGCUCCCGGCCGUAGGUCGCGAGCACGGCCUGCGCCUC